rnacentral:rRNA from 1 species
CUACGGGGUGCUCCAGUUAGGAAUAUUUUGCAACGCGCGCAAGCGUGACAAAUUGAGCCAGAGUGAUUUUCAUAUUGAAAAUCUUUUGUGGAAUGUAAAAAGUUUCACGAAUAAGGACUGGGUAAGACUAGUGCCAGCCGCCGCGGUAAUACUAGCGGUCCAAGUCGCAGCCAUUUUUAUUGGGUCUAAAACAUCCGUAGCUUGUUUGAUAAGUUUCUUGUGAAAUCUGAUAUCUCAAAUAUCAGGCGUGCAAGAAGUACUGUCAAGCUAGAGACUGGAAGACGUGAGAAGUACGUUUAAAGUAGCGGUAAUAUGUGUUAAUCUUAAACGGACUUACAAUAGCGAAGGCAUCUCACGAGGACAGUUCUGACAGUAAGGGAUGAAGGCUAGGGGCGCAAAACGGAUUAGAUACCCCUGUAGUC